UACGUAGGGUCCAAGCGUCGUUCGGAAUUACUGGGCGUAAAGCGCGCGUAGGCGGGUUUAUAUGUCGAUUGUGAAAGCCCUGGGCUCAACCCGGGAAUGGCAGUCGAAACUGUAAAUCUUGAGUGCCUGAGAGGAUGGCGGAAUUCCCGGUGUAGUAGUGAAAUACGUAGAUAUCGGGAAGAACACCUGAGGCGAAGGCGGCUAUCUGGCGGUGCACUGACGCUGAGGCGCGAAAGCGUGGGGAGCAAACAGG
rnacentral:rRNA from 1 species